GGCUUAUCCCGUUUAUCCACCAUGAAACAGCUACCCUAGGGUGUACACUCGGAAAAGUGUGUCUGUCUGU